rnacentral:rRNA from 1 species
GACAGAGGGUGCAAACGUUGUUCGGAAUUACUGGGCGUAAAGCGUGUGUAGGCGGUCCACUAAGUCGGGUGUGAAAGCCCUGGGCUCAACCCAGGAAGUGCACUCGAAACUGGCGGGCUAGAGUAUCGGAGAGGUUGGUGGAAUUCUCGGUGUAGAGGUGAAAUUCGUAGAUAUCGAGAGGAACACCGGUGGCGAAGGCGGCCAACUGGACGAAUACUAACGCUGAGACACGAAAGCGUGGGGAGCAAACAGG